rnacentral:tRNA from 1 species
GCGGAUGUGGCGAAACGGUAGACGCGCAUGGUUUAGGACCAUGUGCCGCAAGGCUUGGGGGUUCGAGUCCCUUCAUCCGCA